rnacentral:lncRNA from 1 species
AUGGGGGGGUAUGGGGGGUAUGGGGGGUAUGGGGGGUAUGGGGGGUAUGGGGGGUAUGGGGGAGGAGGGAGGCACAACACAGAACUGUCAAUCAACUGCUCAGCUCUGACCCCAAGGUCAUCAUGGGGUGGGGGUCUCCAAAGUGCCGGCCCCCCCCCUCGCUGUCACCGUGUCCCCAAAGUCGUUAUGGGGGAGGGUCGUUAUGGGGGAGGGGUCCCCAAAGUGCUCCCCCGCAAAGUUACUGUAGGGCUGGGGUCCCCAAAGUGCUGCCCUCCGGAGCAAUUAUCGGGUGGGGGUCCUAAAGUGCCCCCCAGUCCCCAAUCCCAUAAUGGGGGGGGAUCCCAAAGCGUGACCCCACCUCAGCCCCCACAUGGGGGUCCCCCAACCACAUCAUUUUUUUUUGGGGGGGGGUCGUUCCCCCCCGGACCCACCUUAAGGAAAGAUUUGAGGGUUUGGGAUGGGGAGAUCUGCAGGAGGUUCCCGAUGAGGGGCAGCGGGGUCGGACCUGGGGGGAGGCGGCCCCCCCCGGACCCCCGCCGCCCGCGGACCGCGAGGAGGAGGAUGAGGGAGAGCCCCAGGAACAGCAGCAGCGUCACCUCCAUGGCGGGCGGCGAUUACGGCCCCUCCGCCCCCCCGGGGGUAUUUAUGGGGCCGGGGGGGGGGCGAGGGGUGGGGCUCGACGUGCCCCCCCAACACGGGUUGCACAACGCGCAGCCCCGCCCCCCCACCCCGCCCCACCCCAAGGUGCGCCCCGUUGUCACCGCGCCGCUUCUGCCCCACAGGUCGAGGGGCGGCGCUGCGGCUGUGGGGCCAACGGCGCUGGGGGUGUCCCCAGUGUCCCCAGUGUCCCCAAUGUCCCCAAAGUCCCCAGUGUCCCCAAUGUCCCCAGUGUCCCCAGUGUCCCCAGUGUCCCCAGGGUCCCCAUUGCCCCCCAUUACCCCCCAUUACUCCAUUGUCCCCAAUGUCCCCAUUGACCCCAUUGACCCCUUUGACCCCCAGUGUCCCCAGUGUCCCCAUGUGCACAGAUCUCUGUGUCCCAGUGUCCCCAUGUCCUCUUGA